GUUGGCGGGGUAACGGCCCACCAAGGCUAUGACGGGUAGCUGGUCUGAGAGGACGACCAGUCACACGGGGACUGAGACACGGCCCCGACUCCUACGGGAGGCAGCAGUGGGGAAUUUUCCGCAAUGGGCGAAAGCCUGACGGAGUGACGCCGCGUGUGGGACGAAGGCCUUCGGGUCGUAAACCACUGUCAGUGGGAAAGAAGGGUGUCGGCGCUAAUACCGCCGGCAUUUGACGGUACCUGCAGAGGAAGCCCCGGCCAACUCUGUGCCAGCAGCCGCGGUAAGACAGAGGGGGCAAGCGUUGCUCGGAAUUACUGGGCGUAAAGGGCGCGUAGGCGGGAUGGCAAGUCGGUCGUGAAAUCCUUCGGCUCAACCGAAGAACGUCGAUCGAUACUGCUGUUCUUGAGGGUUGCAGAGGAGACUGGAAUUCCCGGUGUAGCGGUGAAAUGUGUAGAGAUCGGGAGGAACACCGGUGGCGAAGGCGGGUCUCUGGGCAAUUCCUGACGCUGAGGCGCGAAAGCGUGGGGAGCAAACGGGAU
rnacentral:rRNA from 1 species